UCUCUCUCUCUCUCUCUCUCUACACAUACAAAUAUGUAAUUUAUCUACAUUUUUUCGGGGUGGGGUUGUAGGUGAGGCUUUCCCACCACAUCAUCAUUAUCAUGAUUAACAGCCAUCAAAUUUUUCAUUGUUCUUUGGAAAACAAAAUCAUUUCUCUUAAAUAGAGCAUAACUUGUAUGAUAUAGAACUUUGAAGAACGAAAUCAUGCUGGAUGGGAAGUUGGGAACUGUAGGCAGUGCAAAUUCUUAUUAUUGAUGGUUCUGUAGGGGUGCAUCACUUAUUGCUACAAUAAGGGUCAAGGACUGCCCAUAGUAUUAGACAUGAACAAGUUUCGUUACUACAGCCUUUAGCAACUCUUCCUUCUAGCUUUGUAGGUUCCAUUUGCUAAACUAAAUUGUAGCGCUUUUCCUUUUGUUGAUAUUAUAAUUAAUUUGCAUAAUGUAAGCUAUGAUCCGUAUCUGACUAGUCACUUUUUGUAAUUUUGACUUGCAGAUAGCAGAGUACAGAAGUUACAAACUAGAAAAU
rnacentral:misc_RNA from 1 species